rnacentral:rRNA from 1 species
UACGAAGGAUCCAAGCGUUAUCCGGAUUUAUUGGGUUUAAAGGGUGCGUAGGCGGGCUAUUAAGUCAGUGGUGAAAGCCCCAAGCUUAACUUGGGAACUGCCAUUGAUACUGAUGGUCUUGAGUACACUUGAGGUGGGCGGAAUGUGUCAUGUAGCGGUGAAAUGCUUAGAUACCAUCAAGAACACCGAUUGCGAAGGCAGCUAACUAGGCUGUAACUGACGCUGAGGCACGAAAGUGUGGGGAUCAAACAGG